GUCUUUUUGGUUUGUUAGUUUUUGAUUUUGCUAAGGGACUAGCAAAAGCUAAGUGUGGGGGAAUUUGAUAGGAGCAUUUUAAUGUGGUAUUUUAAUAGUUAAUUCCUCACAUUUUGCUUAGUUAAUUCCUUAACGAAUCGAUUUUUAACUCAAUUUCUAUUUUCUUAGGUACAUUGGAGUAAAUGAUGGUGAAAUAAGCAUUAGGUCCACACUUACCUAUAAAUGGUGGAGAAAAAUGGAAAUGUACUAAAAUGUCAAUUUUACACAUUUUCCUACUCCGGCUAGGAGAAACCAAGCCAAGCAAGGAAGAAGGAGCGGCCGCCGGACCAAAUGAACUUCAAAUGAGCUGAAACUUUCCAGAUCCAUUCUAGACAGCCCAAGGAUCAUUUCUUAUGAAGAGUGCAAGAACUUUUGUUGAGUGGAAGGCCUUCAAACAAUCAGCCCAAUUUUCUACAGAAGCAAAACUGGAAAACUGGACCUGUAAGAGGUCCAACAGCAUUUUCGGCCCAACCACAUGGAAUAAAAAUCUGAAAUUUUACCAGGGUGAUCUACACUCAUAAUGGAACAUUUUUUAUGAAGAGGUCAUAGUGAAAUUGGGAAUGCUUGUUGGAGAAAUAAUUGAAGGAAUAAAGGGGCAGAAACUGAUCUAAAAAACAGCUCAACAUCACAUGUUCAUGUUUCCUACCCACAUGAAGAAAGCUAGAUGCUUUUCUCUUUUUCCUUGGAUAUAUUUUUCUGCUCCAAUAGAUCAUCAUCACUUCCAUACUUCUACACCUUCAUGCCUUGCUUUCAUUUCAUCAUUACUCCAUCUUUUCCAUAUUUUACAAACCACUUUCAUUAUUUUUCUUCCAUUUAUCAUUUCACUCUUCUUUUUCUUCCCUAUAUAAACACCUUCUCCUCUCACUCUAAACAUGAUUCCUUCAUCCAUUCCAUCUUCUUUGUCUCUCCAUUUCCUUUCCAUUUUCCCACAAAAUUCCUUCAUCCAUUUCAUCUUCUUUGUCUCUCCAUUUCCAUUCCAUUUUUCUCUCCAUUCUCUAGUUGCAAAAUUCUGCGUUUUCAAGUAAGAAGAAGAAGAAGAAGAAGAAGGAGCCGGGAAUAUCAUAUCCUCCAUCGUCCACCUUGAAGGCUUGCUUCCAAGAUUCAAGAUUUCAACGUUUCAAGCACUCCAUCUCCAUCUCCAACUCACGGUGUGUACCCUCAAUCCCCGGAAUAGAACGAUCCCUAUUUGCUUAUACUACUAACGAUGUUUUCAGGGUUAAAUUAUGCGCUUGCUUUGAGCGUAUCAAUUUUUGGCGCCGUUGCCGGGGAUUGAAAAAUCACUUGUUUUUGUUUAUAAUUGUUGUAUAUAAACUGUUUGAUACUUAGUUUAAAUUAACUAGGUUGUUUUUUUUAUUGUUGAAUACGAGGUUAAUUGUGAGUUGUAAAUUAAAGAAGGAAUAGGUGAAGUCGUGUUUAUUAAUAUUGGCCUAAACCCCUUAUUGGUACCUAGUUCAGGUCCCUUAAGGUUGAGGGCGGCCUUUAUUAACAUUCAUUGAACUGUCUAACACACUUAGGACCUUUUACAUCCUAGUAAGAAUAUCCUAUGUGAGAUGGUGUCUAGGAAGGGGAUAACGUUCAUGACGGGUUUUUGAAUCCAGAAGUGCUUAUAAAUGGGCCUAGCUCAUGCCAAAAUGGAUUUUUCCUCUCGUGUUCACCCUCCCCUACCUGGCCAUUUCAGUAAGGUUGCCCAACGGAUGUAGGAGGGACUUUGUGUCUAGACGACUAUACUUGGGCCGCACGUCCACUUGAUUUACCGCUUGGAAUUAGAUUUGAUAUCAAUAAUGUUUAUAACAAAAGAAAUACUUGUGCAUACUCUUUACGUGUAAAUUAUUUUGUUGUUUCACACUUUAUACUUGUAAAAAUACUUUUUACGUUUUAUA